rnacentral:rRNA from 1 species
UACGUAGGGGGCAAGCGUUGUUCGGAUUUACUGGGCGUAAAGGGCGGGUAGGCGGCCACCGCAAGUCAGUUGUGAAAUCUCUGGGCUUAACCCAGAAAGGUCAACUGAUACUGCGGGGCUAGAGUGCAGAAGGGGCAACUGGAAUUCUCGGUGUAGCGGUGAAAUGCGUAGAUAUCGAGAGGAACACCUGCGGCGAAGGCGGGUUGCUGGGCUGACACUGACGCUGAACUGCGAAAGCUAGGGGAGCGAACGGG